UUGAAAUGUAAGCAAGAGCCUUUAUCCUGUGUCCUGAGGAAACAAAAAACAAACCCAGAAGCAAGUGAGAUUCAAGGAGUUUCGUGGAUCAGUUUGUUCCCAGAAGCAGUGGAAAGGCAGCUCCAGGGGCAGCUGUGGGCUGCUCACCCACCUCUCGGUCAGUGCCUGAGAGCAGCUGCCUCUGGUGGUGUUUACUCAUCUCUUCUGUCUGUCUGGAAAUCCUGAGGAUCAUGGUGUCAGUCUGAGCUCUGGGAGUCUGGGGAAAUCCCUGCCACACUGUAAAAGAAUUUACAGGAGCAACAAGAGUCUGAAGUGUGCUGAAAUAAUCCUGAGAGCAUCGCACUCCUCACACUGCAACAGUUGGAAGAAAAAAAUUCCUCUGUACCUUCCACAGGCUGGAAACAGUGCCUAAAGGCCCAGCCUCGUUGUGCUGAGGACUCUGCAGACAAAAUGAAGGCACAGCCCCUGCCUUGAAGCACAGCUCAGAGCAUCCUCAGGCAGCUCCUGUGCUGCAGUGGUGGAAUCUCCUCUUUAAUGGCACCAGGAAGAAGCAGCAGGAAAUGCAGAGUGAAAUUCUUCCACACAAGCUGCUGCCAGACCAUCGCCCACUGUGUCUGGAGAGUCCCUGCAU